rnacentral:rRNA from 1 species
AGAAGGCACACCCGGAGAACUGAAACAUCUUAGUACCCGGAGGAAGAGAAAGAAAAUUCGAUUCCCUUAGUAGCGGCGAGCGAAACGGGAAGAGCCCAAACCAACAAGCUUGCUUGUUGGGGUUGUAGGACACUCUAUACGGAGUUACAAAGGACGACAUUAGACGAAUCAUCUGGAAAGAUGAAUCAAAGAAGGUAAUAAUCCUGUAGUCGAAAAUGUUGUCUCUCUUGAGUGGAUCCUGAGUACGACGGAGCACGUGAAAUUCCGUCGGAAUCUGGGAGGACCAUCUCCUAAGGCUAAAUACUCUCUAGUGACCGAUAGUGAACCAGUACCGUGAGGGAAAGGUGAAAAGCACCCCGGAAGGGGAGUGAAAUAGAACCUGAAACCGUGUGCUUACAAGUAGUCAGAGCCCGUUAAUGGGUGAUGGCGUGCCUUUUGUAGAAUGAACCGGCGAGUUACGAUUUGAUGCAAGGUUAAGCAGUAAAUGUGGAGCCGUAGCGAAAGCGAGUCUGAAUAGGGCGUUUAGUAUUUGGUCGUAGACCCGAAACCAGGUGAUCUACCCUUGGUCAGGUUGAAGUUCAGGUAACACUGAAUGGAGGACCGAACCGACUUACGUUGAAAAGUGAGCGGAUGAACUGAGGGUAGCGGAGAAAUUCCAAUCGAACCUGGAGAUAGCUGGUUCUCUCCGAAAUAGCUUUAGGGCUAGCCUCAAGUGAUGAUUAUUGGAGGUAGAGCACUGUUUGGACGAGGGGCCCCUCUCGGGUUACCGAAUUCAGACAAACUCCGAAUGCCAAUUAAUUUAACUUGGGAGUCAGAACAUGGGUGAUAAGGUCCGUGUUCGAAAGGGAAACAGCCCAGACCACCAGCUAAGGUCCCAAAAUAUAUGUUAAGUGGAAAAGGAUGUGGCGUUGCCCAGACAACUAGGAUGUUGGCUUAGAAGCAGCCAUCAUUUAAAGAGUGCGUAAUAGCUCACUAGUCGAGUGACACUGCGCCGAAAAUGUACCGGGGCUAAACAUAUUACCGAAGCUGUGGAUUGUCCUUUGGACAAUGGUAGGAGAGCGUUCUAAGGGCGUUGAAGCAUGAUCGUAAGGACAUGUGGAGCGCUUAGAAGUGAGAAUGCCGGUGUGAGUAGCGAAAGACGGGUGAGAAUCCCGUCCACCGAUUGACUAAGGUUUCCAGAGGAAGGCUCGUCCGCUCUGGGUUAGUCGGGUCCUAAGCUGAGGCCGACAGGCGUAGGCGAUGGAUAACAGGUUGAUAUUCCUGUACCACCUAUAAUCGUUUUAAUCGAUGGGGGGACGCAGUAGGAUAGGCGAAGCGUGCGAUUGGAUUGCACGUCUAAGCAGUAAGGCUGAGUAUUAGGCAAAUCCGGUACUCGUUAAGGCUGAGCUGUGAUGGGGAGAAGACAUUG